rnacentral:rRNA from 1 species
UCGACAGGCUUAACACAUGCAAGUCGAGGGGCAGCACAGGUAGCAAUACCGGGUGGCGACCGGCGCACGGGUGAGUAACGCGUAUGCAACUUACCUAUCAGAGGGGGAUAACCCGGCGAAAGUCGGACUAAUACCGCAUGAAGCAGGGGCCCCGCAUGGGGAUAUUUGCUAAAGAUUCAUCGCUGAUAGAUAGGCAUGCGUUCCAUUAGGCAGUUGGCGGGGUAACGGCCCACCAAACCGACGAUGGAUAGGGGUUCUGAGAGGAAGGUCCCCCACAUUGGUACUGAGACACGGACCAAACUCCUACGGGAGGCAGCAGUGAGGAAUAUUGGUCAAUGGCCGAGAGGCUGAACCAGCCAAGUCGCGUGAGGGAUGAAGGUUCUAUGGAUCGUAAACCUCUUUUAUAAGGGAAUAAAGUGCGGGACGUGUCCCGUUUUGUAUGUACCUUAUGAAUAAGGAUCGGCUAACUCCGUGCCAGCAGCCGCGGUAAUACGGAGGAUCCGAGCGUUAUCCGGAUUUAUUGGGUUUAAAGGGUGCGUAGGCGGCCUUUUAAGUCAGCGGUGAAAGUCUGUGGCUCAACCAUAGAAUUGCCGUUGAAACUGGGGGGCUUGAGUAUGUUUGAGGCAGGCGGAAUGCGUGGUGUAGCGGUGAAAUGCAUAGAUAUCACGCAGAACCCCGAUUGCGAAGGCAGCCUGCCAAGCCAUUACUGACGCUGAUGCACGAAAGCGUGGGGAUCAAACAGGAUUAGAUACCCUGGUAGUCCACGCAGUAAACGAUGAUCACUAGCUGUUUGCGAUACACUGUAAGCGGCACAGCGAAAGCGUUAAGUGAUCCACCUGGGGAGUACGCCGGCAACGGUGAAACUCAAAGGAAUUGACGGGGGCCCGCACAAGCGGAGGAACAUGUGGUUUAAUUCGAUGAUACGCGAGGAACCUUACCCGGGUUUGAACGCAUUCGGACCGAGGUGGAAACACCUUUUCUAGCAAUAGCCGUUUGCGAGGUGCUGCAUGGUUGUCGUCAGCUCGUGCCGUGAGGUGUCGGCUUAAGUGCCAUAACGAGCGCAACCCUUGCCACUAGUUACUAACAGGUAAAGCUGAGGACUCUGGUGGGACUGCCAGCGUAAGCUGCGAGGAAGGCGGGGAUGACGUCAAAUCAGCACGGCCCUUACAUCCGGGGCGACACACGUGUUACAAUGGCGUGGACAAAGGGAAGCCACCUGGCGACAGGGAGCGAAUCCCCAAACCACGUCUCAGUUCGGAUCGGAGUCUGCAACCCGACUCCGUGAAGCUGGAUUCGCUAGUAAUCGCGCAUCAGCCAUGGCGCGGUGAAUACGUUCCCGGGCCUUGUACACACCGCCCGUCAAGCCAUGGGAGCCGGGGGUACCUGAAGUCCGUAACCGCGAGGAUCGGCCUAGGGUAAAACUGGUGACUG